GAGGGUAUAGCUCAGUGGUAGAGUGCAUGCCCAUCAUGCACGAGGUCCUGGGUUCAAUUCCCAGUACCUCCA
rnacentral:tRNA from 1 species